GAUAAUGCUUGAAUUCUUGAUGAUAAUAUAGAAAUUGUUGAUGGCUAAGUUCCACCAUUUUAGAAUUUCAAUGUGAAAUUAUAAAUGGUGAUGGAAAUGAACUUUAGUGAGGAUGAGAGAGAAGAUGAAUAUUGAGAGAGAAUAGAAGAAAAAUGGUGAAAAAUAAUGGUUAAUUGUGAAUUUUCUAAGUUAGGUUAGUGAUAUUAGC
rnacentral:lncRNA from 1 species